CAACUGUCGGGAGAUGUGUAUCUUCCCUGAUGAGCUCGAAAGAGCGAAACAGCAG
rnacentral:hammerhead_ribozyme from 1 species